rnacentral:lncRNA from 13 species
UCCAGAAUGGCUAGCAGGAAGAAAGAAUGGGGAACCAAGGCUGUAUGUGUAGAAUCAAAUUUAGUAACUAAAGAAGGGGCAAAGUAACAUAAAAGACAGAAAGAAUGUUGCGAAUCAUAUGCCUAUGAGUGGCAUAUUAAGAGUUUAACUCUGAACAACAUGAGAGUUAGGCUUGCCAACGAACCACCCAGCUGAAAAUUUAUACGUAAUUGAAGAUGUUAUUGUUACAGAAAAUGCUGUGGAAUAAAUCAAGCCUGAAAUAAUAAAUUCCUGCUACAGAAAACUUGUACAGGCAUUUUGCAUGACUUCAUGGGAUUUAUGACAGAGUCAGCAAGAGAAUCAUGAAAGGAACUGUGACUAGCAAAAGAUAUGGGAGAUGAAGUCUGUAAAGAUAUGGCUCUUGGAUAAAUUCAAGAGUUAGUAUACAUCACACUAGGAGAGUUAACAGAAGAUGACUUGGUAGAGAUGAGUGCUUCUGAGCCAGAGCUGGAUCAUGAGGAGGACAAUGUAAAUGAAGAAGUGCCAAAAAACAAGCUGAUAUCAGAAAAUCUGUGAUAGAUCUGCUUUUGACUUCUAUUGAUGGCUUGAGCCCUUCUAUGACAACAGGCACUGAAACUAAAGCAUACAGUGGAAGAAAGAAGUCAGUUUUGGCUAUUUGACUUUCUUGGGCAACACAAUGUGAGUAGCAAUUAUCAGUGGGUUUUCAAGAAGUUCAUCGCAACACUGUUUACAAUAGCAAAGAACUGGAACCAACCCAAUGCCCAUCAAUGAUAAACUAGAUAAAGAAAAUGUGGCACAUAUACACCAUGGAAUCCUACACCACCAUAAAAAUCAAUGAGUUCAUGUUCUUUUUAGGGACAUGAAUGAAUCUGGAAACCAUCAUUCUUAGCAAACUGACAUACGAAUUGAAAAUCAUAGGAGCCUCUGAUAUAGAUAAAUUCACCUGUCUUAAUUGCAGAGAGAAAACACAUGAAGCUAAGCUGAAGCUGAGCUGUACCUCAAUGGAUAUGCAACAAACCAGUGACAACUAGGCAACAUCCA